rnacentral:rRNA from 1 species
AAUCAACGCUGGCGGCGUGCCUCAGACAUGCAAGUCGAACGCGAAAGGUUCCUUCGGGAGCCGAGUAGAGUGGCGCUCGGGUGAGUAACACGUAGGUAAUUUGCCUUUGGGUGGGGAAUAACAAUCGGAAACGGUUGCUAAUACCGCAUAAUGCAGCGGCUCGACAUCGAGACAGUUGUUAAAGCGGGGGAUCCUUCGGGACCUCGCGCCUAAAGAGAAGCCUGCGGCGGAUUAGCAGUCGGUGAGGUAAUGGCUCACCAAGGCGACGAUCCGUAACCGGCCUGAGAGGGCGGACGGUCACACUGACACUUAAAUACGGGUCAGACUCCUACGGGAGGCAGCAGUCGGGAAUUUUGGGCAAUGGGCGAAAGCCUGACCCAGCAACGCCGCCGUGAAGGA